rnacentral:tRNA from 1 species
GCCUAGGUAGCUCAGUUGGUUGAGUUUCUGACUUCAGCUCAGGUCGUGAUCUCGCGUUUUGGGUUCGAGCCCCGGGUCAGGCU